rnacentral:lncRNA from 1 species
GCCGGAGGAGCACCCACAGACAGGAGCAUCUACAGGAGGACCAGCCGGGGACAGGAGGACCAGCCGGAAGAGCAUCCACAGAUAGGAGUAUCUACAGGAGGACCAGCCGCGGACAGGAGGAUCAGCCGGAUGAGCACCCA